rnacentral:rRNA from 1 species
UACAUGGGGUGCAAACGUUUGCUCGGAAUUAUUGGGCGUAAAGCGCGCGUAGGCGGUUACUUAAGUCGGAUGUGAAAGCCCUCGGCUUAACUGAGGAAGUGCACCCGAAACUGAGUAGCUAGAGUACGAAAGAGGGUCGCGGAAUUCCCGGUGUAGAGGUGAAAUUCGUAGAUAUCGGGAGGAACACCGGUGGCGAAGGCGGCGACCUGGGUAGAUACUGACGCUGAGGUGCGAAAGCGUGGGGAGCAAACAGG